CCGGUACCCAACUCACACAACGUCUGGAACUCAUGAAUCUUGCUGCCGGCCCCCUGGCCUUCCUGCGUCAGCGCCUGCACCUGGACCAGCGCACUGUGUCUUCUCUCCCACAACACUCUGCUGUGCUGGCCUGGGAGAGGCGACUGCUGGGAAAACCCCCGGCCGCAGUGUCCCCAUCUGCAGGAUGUGAUAAGCACCUCUGCCCAGCCAGUCCCCCUGCCUGCAGCCCAGCCCCGACCCUUCGAGUUACCUUCUUGCGGUGAGGAAACUGAGGCCCAGAGAGGUCACAGAGCUCGGAAGCAACCCCACAGACUAUGACUUUAACCACCUGCUGCUGCCCGUCUCCGGACACAGCUGCACCCUGCGUGGCCACCCUCCGGAAGCCCCGCCCGCAUCCCGGAUGGCCUCAGAGGCACAGCCGGGCCAGCCCUCACCUGUCUGGUUGA